rnacentral:rRNA from 1 species
UACGUAGGGGGCAAGCGUUGUCCGGAAUUAUUGGGCGUAAAGAGCUCGUAGGCGGUUCGUCGCGUCGGCUGUGAAAUCCCGAGGCUCAACCUCGGGUCUGCAGUCGAUACGGGCGGACGUGGAGUUCGGCAGGGGAGACUGGAAUUCCGUGGAUGUAGCGGUGAAAUGCGCAGAUAUCAGGAGGAACACCGGUGGCGAAGGCGGGUCUCUGGGCCGAUACUGACGCUGAGGAGCGAAAGCGUGGGGAGCGAACAGG